GCUCUUGCGGUACAUGUGACAACUGUCCUCAUCUGCAUAUGGACAGGUACGCUAUGGUGAGCGUGGUAGAGAAGUUACCGGGCUGGCACCGUGUGAAUGGAGUUUUAAAGAUCGUCGAGAAAUCUCCCAAGUAGCCCUAAGACAUCGUUAGUCUACAGCAAGAGGACUACUAUUUCAUACCGCCCAUUGACUUCGGAAAAUAGCUCAUUGUAAUCAACAGAGACAGGCACCGUCAGUCUGGCUGCUGUGUCCCCAUUGGUCCAGAUGUGAGAGCAGAGACCAGCAGUGUCACCUCUAACCCUCAGGGCCCGUCGUCAUGAAAAUGGUGUUGUCGUUACCAAGGCCACCGUGGGGGUUGUGGUCUGUGUUAGUCCCAGGCCUGACCUUACUGCUGUGCCUGGCCCUGGUCCUGAUGGGCUGUGUGAUCAGGAAGAAGAGAAGGAUGGAGGGAAUGUAUCGGCCCAGUGCGGAGGAGAGCAAACAGACAGGACCACGGGGGGCUGAGAGACCAGGCCUGCCCCUGCCCAAGGAGGAGAGACUCAUCUGAUACCUGCACUCUAGCCUGGACUCUACACACACACACAAACUCUCUUUUCCUCCCUCUCUCUCUCACUACCAUUGCCUCACUCUCCUCUACCCUGUACAUGAAGCCAGAAUGGGUUAUUAGUAAUUAUGUAUUGUGUUGUGUAAAGUUAUUUGUAGAUGAAGUGUCUUGUUAAAUAUGCCUGAACAUGCCUGGUGGAUGUGCGAUGUCCUCUCCAGUUUCUCCAACUGUGCUGAUGUUGACAUCAGUGUGUCAACCGGUGAAUGCUGAAUGCCCUGUCAGGGGUGUGUUGUUUACCUGUAGGUGGACUAGUUGUUGACAUGUUUACCUUUAGGUGGACUAGUUGUUGACAUGUUUACCUGUAGGUGGACUAGUUGUUUACCUGUAGGUGGACUAGUUGUUGACAUGUUUACCUGUAGGUGGACUAGUUGUUUACCUGUAGGUGGACUAGUUGUUUACCUGUAGGUGGACUAGUUGUUGACCAUACAGAGAAAAGGGAAUUUUUAAAAGUUCCUCUAUAUGCAAAAUGUCUCUUUAUUGUGGCAGUUAUACUGUUACAUGUGUACAAACUAUGAUUUAAGUGUAUCCCGUGUAUAAAAACAUUAGUGUGGGUGUUUUUUAUAUCUUGAAAAUGAAGAGAAGAAUGGUAAAGACACUAUGAAUGAUUUCUAAUGCACUUCUGAUGAUAUUAUCCAUGUGAGAACAAUAACACGCCUCUCAAAAAGUAUUAAACUUCCAUUUAUUCAGUUUAAUAUCAUCCUGGAGAAGAAUAUUUGAUUUAGUAAAAAAAUCUUCAAGUGUGUAUUCAGUGCAUUGAGUUGAUGUGUUCAUGUUCCACAAGCGCCACCUGCUGGUCAUCUACAGACAAUACAACCAGCGACAUCAGUCAGGGAUUGGACAGAACUGGUUCCUGAAUGUCAUGUGACAUGAUCAGUGGUGUAUUCAACAGUGGUGUGAAGUUCUUAAGUAAACAAUACUUUCAAGUACUACUUAAGUUUUUUUUUUGGUAUCAAAACAUUACUUUACUAUUUUUUGACAACUUUUACUUCACUACAUUCUUUAAGAAAAUAAUGUACUUUUUACUCCGUACAUUUUUUGCCCUGACACCCAAACGUACUUGUUACAUUCUGACAGGAAAAUGGUCCAAUUCACGCGCUUAUCAAGAGGACGUCCUUGUUCAUCCCUACUACCGGAUCUUGCCGACUCGCUAAACACAAAUGCUUCGUUUGUAAAUUAUGUCUGAUUGUUCCCCUGGUAUCUGUAAAUGUAGAUAUUUUAAAACAGAAAAUGGUGCCGUCUGGUUUGCUUAACACAAGGAAUGUUUAAUUAUUUGUACUUUUACUUUUUAUGCUUAAGUACAUUUUUUUCCAUUACAUUGACUUUUAAUACUUUAUUUAAAAAUAAAUACUUUUAGACUUUUACUCAAGUAGUAUUUUACUGGGUGGUUUUCACUUUUACCUGAGUCAUUUUCUAUUAAGGUAUCUUUACUUUUACUCAAGUAUGACAAUUUGGUACUUUUUCCACAACUGAUAUUCAAUAGUCGCACAAUGUAGCUAAAUGUUUAGCGUUGUAUCAAAACGUUUUGCAAUGGUAACCGUUUAAUCCAAACUGAAAAUAUUUUCCUACAAAAUUGAGAGUUUCUAUUGGAAAUAUUGCAAUAUAUCUCGUUCGGUUCCGUUUGCGUCCAAGUGAAUACACCCUGGGAAAAACUUCUGGCCUUUAUGCAUUACAUCAUAGACCUGUAAAAGAACGUUACAGAAUGUUCAGAUAGAAGUGUAUGGUGUAGAACCGGAAUUACUGUCUGUCGGUUAGAAUAUGGGAUUGUCAAUUCUAUUCAUUCUAUUUCUACUU